rnacentral:rRNA from 1 species
AUACGGAGGGUGCAAGCGUUACUGGGAAUCACUGGGCGUAAAGCGCGCGCAGGCGGCUAUUUAAGUUGGAUGGGAAAGCCUACGGCUCAACCGUAGAACUGCAUCCAAAACUAUUUAGCUAGAGUGUGGGAGAGGAAGAUGGAAUUAGUUGUGUAGGGGUAAAAUCCGUAGAGAUAACUAGGAAUACCAAAAGCGAAGGCAAUCUUCUGGAACACUACUGACGCUGAGGCGCGAAAGCGUGGGGAGCAAACAGGAUUAGAAACCCCGGUAGUCC